CCAGACUCCUACGGGAGGCAGCAGUGGGGAAUAUUGCACAAUGGGGGAAACCCUGAUGCAGCGACGCCGCGUGGGCGAAGAAGUAUUUCGGUAUGUAAAGCCCUAUCAGCAGGGAAGAAGAAAUGACGGUACCUGAGUAAGAAGCACCGGCUAAAUACGUGCCAGCAGCCGCGGUAAUACGUAGGUGGCAAGCGUUAUCCGGAUUUACUGGGUGUAAAGGGCGUGUAGGCGGGAAAGCAAGUCAGAUGUGAAAACCAUGGGCUCAACCUGUGGCCCGCAUUUGAAACUGUUUUUCUUGAGUACUGGAGAGGCAGACGGAAUUCCUAGUGUAGCGGUGAAAUGCGUAGAUAUCAGGAGGAACACCGGCGGCGAAGGCGGCCUGCUGGACCGUGACUGACGUUGAGGCUCGAGAGCGUGGGGAGCAAACAGGAUUAGAUACCCUAGUA
rnacentral:rRNA from 1 species